CGCACGGCGGGCCCUUGGGUAGGGCGGUGAGGGGCACGUGCAACCCGUCUUCCCCGGGACGAGGGCUGACUCACCGGACUCCACAGCGCUCCCUCCAGAAGCUGUGGGCAGCGGCCUUACUGAGCUGGUACAGGUGCCCACAGUAUUUCCCCCCCAGGGAAGAGCGCGUUCAGCUCCGCGUGCAUGUGGCUGAAGAUGAGGGCCAGCUUGGCCAGCUGUCGCCUGCAGGAAAACAGUCUGUGAGCAUCGCUGGACCUAGGGAGAGUCGCGACAGGCCCCGGAUUCCCUCUGAGGAAUUGUGCACCACGGGCGCCCGGCUCCGUCCCGAGGCUGCUUUCUCUCCAAGCCUCAGUUCCCCUAUCUAAGAAAGAAGGGUGGAAACCAGUGUCCAGACUAGCCUCGAAGCAACACAACCCAGGCGCAAAGCCUGCUGCGGCUGGAGAAGCCUCGCCUAGAGAAGGUAUGUGCCCACGAGGUGGAUUUCUGGGGAGGCAAAGACGGUGUCGGGUCCCUUGGAGCUGCAGUUACAGGAGACUGUGAGCCAUCCAUCCCCAGUGUUGCGACCCUGGGUCCUCUGAGAGGAGCAAGCUUCUUAGCCUGCGAUCCCGGUAAAAGGGCCAGUGAGCCCACGGCGGGGCGACCCGCAUAUUGAGGACAGCUGUUCUAAGCCGCCAUCCUCCAGCAAGAGCUUGUAGUUUACACCCGGCUGCAACAGGGUAGACCAAAAUAAGGCAACAAUUGGAACAAUUUUGUUAAGCACAGUGGCCCGACUGUCUUCCUGACCCUGGCCAGCGCGCGCCCGCGCGCGCGCGCACACACACACACACGCACAUACACACGCACGCACACACACUCACACACAUGCACACAC